rnacentral:rRNA from 1 species
AUUGAACGCUGGCGGCAGGCUUAACACAUGCAAGUCGAGCGGAGAUGAGGUGCUUGCACCUUAUCUUAGCGGCGGACGGGUGAGUAAUGCUUAGGAAUCUGCCUAUUAGUGGGGGACAACAUUCCGAAAGGAAUGCUAAUACCGCAUACGUCCUACGGGAGAAAGCAGGGGAUCUUCGGACCUUGCGCUAAUAGAUGAGCCUAAGUCGGACUAGCUAGUUGGAGGGGUAAAGGCCUACCAAGGCGACGAUCUGUAGCGGGUCUGAGAGGAUGAUCCGCCACACUGGGACUGAGACACGGCCCAGACUCCUACGGGAGGCAGCAGUGGGGAAUAUUGGACAAUGGGGGGAACCCUGAUCCAGUCAUGCCGCGUGUGUGAAGAAGGCCUUAUGGUUGUAAAGCACUUUAAGCGAGGAGGAGGCUACUGAGACUAAUACUCUUGGAUAGUGGACGUUACUCGCAGAAUAAGCACCGGCUAACUCUGUGCCAGCAGCCGCCGCGGUAA